rnacentral:rRNA from 1 species
AGUGAACGCUGGCGGUAGGCCUAACACAUGCGAGUCGAACGGCAGCACAGUAAGAGCUUGCUCUUACGGGUGGCGAGUGGCGGACGGGUGAGGAAUACGUCGGAAUCUACUUUUUCGUGGGGGAUAACGUAGGGAAACUUACGCUAGUACCGCAUACGACCUACGGGUGAAAGCAGGGGAUCUUCGGACCUUGCGCGAUUGAAUGAGCCGAUGUCGGAUUAGCUAGUUGGCGGGGUAAAGGCCCACCAAGGCGACGAUCCGUAGCUGGUCUGAGAGGAUGAUCAGCCACACUGGAACUGAGACACGGUCCAGACUCCUACGGGAGGCAGCAGUGGGGAAUAUUGGACAAUGGGCGCAAGCCUGAUCCAGCCAUACCGCGUGGGUGAAGAAGGCCUUCGGGUUGUAAAGCCCUUUUGUUGGGAAAGAAAAGCAGCAGGUUAAUACCCCGCUGUUCUGACGGUACCCAAAGAAUAAGCACCGGCUAACUUCGUG